GUUACGAGACUUUCCGAAUGAUGAAGUGAGAGCUCCUCGCACCACGGAUACUAACCGAGGCCAGAAACGGGAAGUAGGCAAGAUGGCAGCGAUAGACAAAGUUAAAGUUGUAGUGGUCGGCGAUUCUGGUGUGGGUAAAACAUCACUAGUCCAUCUGAUCUGUCACAAUGAACCACAAUCAAACCCCUCUGCAACAAUUGGCUGCUCAGUGGAAGUAAAGCUUCAUGAGUAUAGAGCGGGACUGCCCAAUGAGAAGACGUACUUUGUAGAACUGUGGGACAUCGGGGGGUCUGCCAGUCACCAGAACAGCCGAUCCAUCUUCUAUAACUCAGUAAACGGCAUUAUUCUGGUCCAUGACUUGACAAACAGGAAGUCCCAUCAGAACAUCAGGAAGUGGCUGGCGGAGGUCCUCAACCGGGACUCAUCACAGAAAGGCAACGGAACUUAUUUCAGGUAUGAGUUUGACCCUGAGCAGUUUGCAGGGAACCAGAUCCCUAUCCUGGUGGUGGGCAGCAAGGCCGACCUGGCCCAGAGCCUCCGCGAGGACACACGCACUUACGAUAAAUACUCCUCCAUAGCCGAGGAAUGUGGCGCUGAUGAGCUGAACCUGGAUUGUAUGCAAGUCAAAUAUUUAGCCCCAGCCACAACCAAUGCAGUGAAGCUGACCAAAUUUUUUGAUAGGACGAUCGAGCGGCGUGCCGGCAAUCAGGAGGUGGGCGAGGAGGACCUCGAGGGCCAUAUAAGUCCAAAUCAGGAUCGAAGACGGUUUUGGAAAAAUUCCCAUGUGGACUGAGAGCUCAUCAUACCAAUAAUAAGACUUUAUCAGUGUUAGGAGCAGAGACAGUGUCUACUCCAGUCUGUACUUGGAGGAGUGAUGAAGUCAGCUCGGACCAGCAGACAGUGUCUACUCCGGUCUGUACAUUCAGGAGUGAUGAAGUCACCAGCAGACAGUGUCUACUCCGGUCUGUACUUGGAGGAGUGAUGAAGUCAGCUCGGACCAGCAGACAGUGUCUACUCCGGUCUGUACUUGGAGGAGUGAUGAAGUCAGCUCGGACCAGCAGACAGUGUCUACUCCGGUCUGUACUUGGAGGAGUGAUGAAGUCAGCUCGGACCAGCAGACAGUGUCUACUCCGGUCUGUACAUGCAGGAGUGAUGAAGUCAGCUCGGUCAAGCAGACAGUGUCUACUCCGGUCUGUACUUGGAGGAGUGAUAAGUCAGCUCGGACCAGCAGACAGUGUCUACUCCGGUCUGUACAUUCAGGAGUGAUGAAGUCAGCUCGGUCCAGCAAACUUGUCCUGAAUGACAACAUUCCUCAUAUCCUCUGUGACACUGAAUGGAAUAUGUCAUACAGCAUUCUGUGUGAACCGUCCCCAUUAGCUGUGUCCCCCUCAGUGUCACACAGAAGCCUGCUCAAGACAGAGUGAUCAGUUCCAAUGCUUCAUAGGUCUGGGAACAACACUCGUUUACUUAUCCUCAUCUGUUGGUGAAACAGCAACAUUGCACAGUUGUUUCAAACAUCAAUUUGAAAUUGUUAUGUUUCAAUCAAAAACAUCAUGAUGUAUUUAUUUCAUCAAUAAAUAUUUUAUUGUUCAUGGAA
rnacentral:misc_RNA from 1 species